rnacentral:rRNA from 1 species
UACGGAGGGGGCUAGCGUUGUUCGGAAUUACUGGGCGUAAAGCGCGCGUAGGCGGAUCUGCAAGUCGGGGGUGAAAUCCCGAGGCUCAACCUCGGAACUGCCUUCGAUACUGCGGGUCUCGAGUCCGGGAGAGGUGAGUGGAAUUCCUAGUGUAGAGGUGAAAUUCGUAGAUAUUAGGAAGAACACCAGUGGGCGAAAGGCGGCUCACUGGCCC